rnacentral:rRNA from 1 species
GACGAACGCUGGCGGCGUGCCUAACACAUGCAAGUCGAACGGUAAGGCCCUUCGGGGUACACGAGUGGCGAACGGGUGAGUAACACGUGGGUGAUCUGCCCUGCACUUCGGGAUAAGCCUGGGAAACUGGGUCUAAUACCGGAUAGGACCAUGGGAUGCAUGUCCUGGGGGGGAAAGCUUUUGCGGUGUGGGAUGGGCCCGCGGCCUAUCAGCUUGUUGGUGGGGUGAUGGCCUACCAAGGCGACGACGGGUAGCCGGCCUGAGAGGGUGACCGGCCACACUGGGACUGAGAUACGGCCCAGACUCCUACGGGAGGCAGCAGUGGGGAAUAUUGCACAAUGGGCGCAAGCCUGAUGCAGCGACGCCGCGUGAGGGAUGACGGCCUUCGGGUUGUAAACCUCUUUCAGCACCGACGAAGCGCAAGUGACGGUAGGUGCAGAAGAAGGACCGGCCAACUACGUGCCAGCAGCCGCCGUAA